GGAGAGUUGUCCGAGCGGUCUAUGGUGAUUGACUUGAAAUCAAUUGGGUGUCACAGCCCCGGGGGUUCGAAUCCUCCACUCUCCGCCA
rnacentral:tRNA from 2 species